UACGUAGGGGGCAAGCGUUGUCCGGAUUUAUUGGGCGUAAAGAGCUCGUAGGUGGUUCGGUAAGUCGGAUGUGAAAUCCCUGGGCUCAACCCAGGAACUGCGUCCGAUACUGGUUGGCUUGAAUCCGGGAGAGGGACGUGGAAUUCCAGGUGUAGCGGUGAAAUGCGUAGAUAUCUGGAGGAACACCGGUGGCGAAGGCGACGUCCUGGACCGGCAUUGACGCUGAGGCGCGAAAGCCAGGGGAGCAAACGGG
rnacentral:rRNA from 1 species